UUCCCUGCACUCUUCUUGAAGGAUUCAAUGUUCCAUUGAGACUUAUGUAAAUUGCCUUGAAGUCUGGGACAUUUGUAAUUUGCCUUUCUUCAUAAUUUUAGACAAUAUAUAUUUGUAUUAAAUACCCAAUAAAAAGGAAGAAAACAUAAGUAUAAUGAAAUGCUUUAUUGCCUUUAGUAAAAAGUAUCAAUGCUUACUCUAUAAAAAUAUUUAAAAAAGUAACAAAUCUCAUAAGAAACUGGCAUAUGGAAUGAUAGUGUUAGUUCAUUUAACUUUCUGUAUUUAUGGUUUUCACAUUCUAUACCACAAAGUUAUAAAAUCCUGUAGCAAAAUAUUUCAAGAAAAGGAGGCAAGCUAUUGUUUCAUUGAUGGUUCAAAGACUGAACCAGUCAUAAAUUCUUCAGAACUUUGAAAAUUUAAAUAUAUAAGUUGUUCUUGUAUGAUGUUUUGAAGUCUGAGAUUGCUCUUUUAACAAGUUUCUAAAGCAAUAUUAGAUUUAUAGAUCUCUUGAGAAAUUGGGUCCUGUACUGAAACAAUGUGUGUAAAAAUACCAUUGAAACAUUUAUUAUACCCAUUACAAAUCAUGGCCCAACAGUGAGGCUGUACGUUUUGCCACCAAUACAAACAAUAUGACAGACUAAAUUUCAUUAUAAAUAAUCGACUGACAGCUUAUUCAAUAUUACUUUGUUUUAAAAGAGAACAAAAGUACAAAACUAGAUGAACUGAACCAGAUAGUUAAUUUCAAUGGUAUUUUCAGAUGUUGUGUAGCAGGAUACACCUAACUAAACAAUAAUAAAAUACAUAAAUGCAAUAUACAUGUGUGUUCUUUAACAAGGUGUAACAUAUGUAUCUGCUAACAAAUAAUAACUCUACAAAAUCAGUAGUCCAAAUAAUUAUGACGUCUUGAAAGGCUAUUAUAAUUUGUUUCUUUACUACAAAUUCAGUAACUAAUAAGACUAUGUCUAGAAUGGCUGAUUGUGAGUUGUGAUAGAAUAAUUUUUUACUUGUGCCAUUUUCACAAUAUAUACAACCAUUAAAUAAUCUAAAGAACAGAUUUAAAUUAUCUGAAAAAAAGUAACCCUGAAUGUCUUAAACAAUUAUAUUAUCAUGAUUAUCUUUGAUACUGAGAAAAAAUCAUUGAGGAGAAAAAAUCCUGUUUUUUUUUUUAAUUAUCUACUGAAAACAGUAGUCCAUGUAUUGCAUAACUCCCACCAAAUACUCCAUAUCCCUUCUUAAUGAUUAAUUGGUGUUCAAUGCCACUUUCAGCACUAUAAGCUUUUUUUAUAUAUUGGUGGAGGAAACCAGAGUGCCCUGUAGAAUAAUAGAAGCUGAGGACCCUAGUAAUUAAGGUGGUACCUAACACUACAGGGAGAUAACUCUGUAAAGUCAGCUAAACGUUUUAAUUACAGUGUGUUGUAAAGGGAAUAUUAAGCUUCUCAAUGAUCAAAAUUGGUGUUUGUCAAACUGCUAUAUAAUCAGUGUAAUUUUCUGACAAAAUGGUUGGUUCAAAAUUUUUGAAAUUUUUGUUAAAGGGUCAAAGUAAAUACAUUGUCAAAAUUUUAUGAAAAUUAAACGAGCCAAAUUAAUUUUAGUGAAAGUGUUGGGUACCACCUUAAGAUUGGAGUCAAACACACCUACCACAUGGGGGAGGGUUUGAACUCACAACCUCAGUGUUGACAGGCUACUGACACAACAGAUGAACCUUCAUAGGCCACUUACCCAAAGACGUCCCUACUACUUAAUGAUGCUGAUACAUACAUAAUAUAAUAUCAAGAUGUUAAUCAAUUGUCUAUAUAAAAAUUGCUGGGCUAUUUGACCCUGUCUGUUUGAAUGAACCCAUAUCCGGUAAGUUUAAUAAAAAAACAACAAAUGAUAAUAUCAAUCAAUUACCACUAACAUGUAAAUUCUGUGAUGAAGAUUAAUGAAUAUUUCAUUUUGGGGAUUAGAAACUACAAUUUUUUUUAUCUAGCAUAUCUUCUGAUAAUUUUUUGAGAAAGUCAUCAUUAAAAUUAUUUAUAAAUUUCAAAUUACUAAUUAGAAAAAUAUGAUCAUAAUGUUUGUGUUCUAAAUAAAAUGUAAAAAUUAAUGAUUUGUACACAUAUAUAUUACAAUGUACCAUUUUUCAACUGCCUCAUUCUUAC
rnacentral:lncRNA from 1 species